GGCGGCGUGCUUAACACAUGCAAGUCGAACGGAAAGGCCCUUCGGGGUACUCGAGUGGCGAACGGGUGAGUAACACGUGGGUAAUCUGCCCUGCACAUCGGGAUAAGCCUGGGAAACUGGGUCUAAUACCGGAUAGGACCACGGGAUGCAUGUCCUGUGGUGGAAAGCUUUUGCGGUGUGGGAUGGGCCCGCGGCCUAUCAGCUUGUUGGUGGGGUGACGGCCUACCAAGGCGACGACGGGUAGCCGGCCUGAGAGGGUGUCCGGCCACACUGGGACUGAGAUACGGCCCAGACUCCUACGGGAGGCAGCAGUGGGGAAUAUUGCACAAUGGGCGCAAGCCUGAUGCAGCGACGCCGCGUGGGGGAUGACGGCCUUCGGGUUGUAAACCUCUUUCACCAUCGACGAAGGUUCGGGUUUUCUCGGAUUGACGGUAGGUGGAGAAGAAGCACCGGCCAACUACGUGCCAGCAGCCGCGGUAAUACGUAGGGUGCGAGCGUUGUCCGGAAUUACUGGGCGUAAAGAGCUCGUAGGUGGUUUGUCGCGUUGUUCGUGAAAUCUCACGGCUUAACUGUGAGCGUGCGAGCGAUACGGGCAGACUUGAGUACUGCAGGGGAGACUGGAAUUCCUGGUGUAGCGGUGGAAUGCGCAGAUAUCAGGAGGAACACCGGUGGCGAAGGCGGGUCUCUGGGCAGUAACUGACGCUGAGGAGCGAAAGCGUGGGGAGCGAACAGGAUUAGAUACCCUGGUAGUCCACGCCGUAAACGGUGGGUACUAGGUGUGGGUUUCCUUCCUUGGGAUCCGUGCCGUAGCUAACGCAUUAAGUACCCCGCCUGGGGAGUACGGCCGCAAGGCUAAAACUCAAAGGAAUUGACGGGGGCCCGCACAAGCGGCGGAGCAUGUGGAUUAAUUCGAUGCAACGCGAAGAACCUUACCUGGGUUUGACAUGCACAGGACGCCGGCAGAGAUGUCGGUUCCCUUGUGGCCUGUGUGCAGGUGGUGCAUGGCUGUCGUCAGCUCGUGUCGUGAGAUGUUGGGUUAAGUCCCGCAACGAGCGCAACCCUUGUCUCAUGUUGCCAGCGGGUAAUGCCGGGGACUCGUGAGAGACUGCCGGGGUCAACUCGGAGGAAGGUGGGGAUGACGUCAAGUCAUCAUGCCCCUUAUGUCCAGGGCUUCACACAUGCUACAAUGGCCGGUACAAAGGGCUGCGAUGCCGCGAGGUUAAGCGAAUCCUUUUAAAGCCGGUCUCAGUUCGGAUCGGGGUCUGCAACUCGACCCCGUGAAGUCGGAGUCGCUAGUAAUCGCAGAUCAGCAACGCUGCGGUGAAUACGUUCCCGGGCCUUGUACACACCGCCCGUCACGUCAUGAAAGUCGGUAACACCCGAAGCCAGUGGCCUAACCCUUUGGGAGGGAGCUGUCGAAGGUGGGAUCGGCGAUUGGGACGAAGUCGUAACAAGGUAGCCG
rnacentral:rRNA from 1 species